UACAGAGGUCCCAAGCGUUGUUCGGAUUCACUGGGCGUAAAGGGUGCGUAGGUGGCCAGGUAAGUUUGAUGUGAAAGCUCGGAGCUUAACUCCGAAAUGGCAUUGAAUACUAUCUGGCUUGAGGGUCGGAGGGGAGACUGGAAUUCUCGGUGUAGCAGUGAAAUGCGUAGAUAUCGAGAGGAACACCAGUGGCGAAGGCGAGUCUCUGGACGACACCUGACACUGAGGCACGAAAGCUAGGGGAGCAAACCAGG
rnacentral:rRNA from 1 species